AGAGUUUGAUCCUGGCUCAGAUUGAACGCUGGCGGCAUGCCUUACACAUGCAAGUCGAACGGCAGCGCGGGCUUCGGCCUGGCGGCGAGUGGCGAACGGGUGAGUAAUAUAUCGGAACGUGCCCUGGAGUGGGGGAUAACUAGUCGAAAGAUUAGCUAAUACCGCAUACGAUCUACGGAUGAAAGUGGGGGAUCGCAAGACCUCAUGCUCGUGGAGCGGCCGAUAUCUGAUUAGCUAGUUGGUGGGGUAAAGGCCCACCAAGGCGACGAUCAGUAGCUGGUCUGAGAGGACGACCAGCCACACUGGGACUGAGACACGGCCCAGACUCCUACGGGAGGCAGCAGUGGGGAAUUUUGGACAAUGGGGGCAACCCUGAUCCAGCAAUGCCGCGUGUGUGAAGAAGGCCUUCGGGUUGUAAAGCACUUUUGUCCGGAAAGAAAUCACUCUGGUUAAUACCUGGGGUGGAUGACGGUACCGGAAGAAUAAGCACCGGCUAACUA
rnacentral:rRNA from 1 species